AGGGGCGAAGGUGAAUGGCGAGAGAAUUAUAUAGGAGAUGCUGUGCAAUAUUUUGGCUUCAACAUACAGGUUCUCGUGCAGACAAAAAAGGAAAUGCAUACAGUUGUGGAUUGUGACGAUUGUCGUAUAAUUGUGCACUGUCGAUCCCAAACAAUUUUGUAUGUUAACACUCCUUCCUACCAGGUAUUUAAUAUAAACGAUGAUAACCUAUUUUUUAAAAAAAUAUCUAGAGCACUAUGUUUAUAAACGGUUUUAGAAUCAAAUUAAUGGACAUUCAACGUCUAUUUAGCUAGUGUCCAAAGUUGUAAGACCACCAAGGUCUACGACCUGCACAGUCGCUUUUGAGACCUCUAUAGUAUUUAAUAAGUAAAUAAAUGCACCGUUUCCAAAUGACAACAAUUCAAUGGCAUACAUGUAUUAUAAGAAUAUUAUAAAUAUCAGAGGCAGAACAGAAACGUAUGCGUGAAAUGAAACUGCGCCCGAACUCCGAGAAUAAAAGGGCAAAUAUUUCAAAGCAUACGAUCAUGCGUUUUCAUUGCUUGAUUUCCUGACUUGUCUGUUGCUAUAUGAAUCUGCAGUUUAGGAUGUUUGUAUAAUUUAAAAGCAAACAGAAACCAAAUUUAGCAAGCAUUUUGAAGUAAUUAUGAUUCUCAAAGGUGAUACUACAGAACAGUCACUCCUUGCAAUCGAAGCGUGAAGUGCGGAAGUGGUAUCAUGUAAUAUGAGAUUUUUCCCUCACCCUUAUAGGCACGUUUCUUUUGUAAAUCUAGAUUUGGAUUCUUACGAAUCAGAUUUUUUGGAGUCGUUAAACCAAUGGAACGAAUUGUGAGAAUCGGAAUUCGCCUGCUGUUUUCCCGCCAUUUUUACAAUAAGUUUUCUGUCCCACUAUACCUUUCGGUCGGGUCAAUGUACAUGCUAGAAGGCCAAAAGCUCAAAAGGAACGUUGAAUCUUAAUUAAUCAAGUUUCAAAUUGAAUCCGAAAAAUACAUAUGUUGAGGUGGACUCAUCAGCUUCGAAUCUAUUCAAGAUUUUGUCAAGUGAAACAGAAAAUCGAUAAUCGGAUUUGAAAAUUCAAAUCCGGAUUGCACUAAAGAAACGCUCCCUACGAUUAUCCAUUUUCUAUGGAUCACGUGACCAGCUCCAACCAGGGUUUUUUCUUCAUAAGAGGGAAGAGCCUGGGAACGAGGUUGACUGCAUUUAACUGCAUUUAACGAUAUCUAUGUUCGCACAAUAUCGGACGAAUACGCAAAUUCGUCUAGUUUCAUUUGUUACACAGGAAUUCCUAGGGUUAGCUGUGUUUGAAUUUGUCCAGUUUCAUGUGUCCCAUGUGAACGCAUAAGGUGAUAGUCGUGAAAUUGUGAGUAUGGUUCAGAAUUCGUUCAGUCCCGUGUGAAGAAGGGUCGAUUGGGUCAUAAUCAUACCGAUCAUGUCCAAAAGUAAAUAUUAUAGAAUUUAUUAAAUAUUUUGUUAAAAUUUAAUCAUUAAUUUUGUUCAAUUUUAAGGUGGUGCUUGGAAACGUUCCAACGCGUCAUUUUUAUUCUCCCUACGCAACAAAGACAACCUUGCUCCAUUUAUUGCCAACAUCAAGCAAGGUCAGGAGCACAGUGCAAUCUACUGUUCGCUUUGUUAUGGACCAACCUUUGGUGGAGGUUAUGAUCUGUACAUUUGUAACAAUCCUCAAGUUAAUCAAUCAUACAGCAAUUUUGGAAGCACAUAUCAACUUCCUCCUGGUUAUGUCUAUAGCAGUGAACAAGCAAAGAACCUUCUUGCUGGUCAGUACCAAUUCUUAACGACAGAAAUCGAAAUCUUCAACUGACAGUUGCCUUGGUUUACGUACUUCAACGAAAAAUAACAUUACAUUGAUUACGACCGCUCUUAGCAAUCAAUUUUGGACAGUGAUUUUGCGAUGUUAUAAAGUAUUAAGAGUUAAUAUGAAUAUUCUGAGUCAUGUACUGCAGGAAUUUUAAAAAUUAAAAUUGGUCGUUUGCCUCAACAGUAGCGGUUACUGGAGUCAACAAAUGAAAGGCCUCGAAGAAAACUUGUGAAAAACCGAUUGUUAUACAGCCGACGGUAAUCAAUGAUCUAAUCAGCAUAUAGCCUAGGUAAAUGUUCUAAAAUUGGAAGAACAUUUAAUUUUCGAUCGACCACUUUAUAUCGGAUUGCAUCUGACCAUUUUUCAUCACAAUGACAUAAGAACGGUGUCAUUUGGCAGCUAAAAGCCUAUCUUUGUUAGUGUGUGAAAGGUAAAUAUAUAAACUUAGUAUAUAUAACACACGAUAGCAUGCUGAAAUUGUUUUACCUUUUUUGAUACACCCUGCACUAUACAUGUUGAAGGGUUUUCGAGAUUUCUUUCUACAAAAAAACCAUUCAACAUUUAAUAUCGACUGAGAUGCCUGAAAUCCUGAUAUUUACCCAUAUACCUUACACUGGCAUCACGUAGUAUGUACUAUAUAUACAUGAACUUGUGGUUAAAACUCGGCAA
rnacentral:lncRNA from 1 species